rnacentral:rRNA from 1 species
GUAGGUGGCAAGCGUUGUCCGGAAUUAUUGGGCGUAAAGCGCGCGCAGGCGGUUCUUUAAGUCUGAUGUGAAAGCCCACGGGCUCAACCGCGGAGGGUCAUUGGAAACUGGAGAACUCGAGUACAGAAGAGGAAAGCGGAAUUCCACGUGUAGCGGUGAAAUGCGUAGAGAUGUGGAGGAACACCAGUGGCGAAGGCGGCUUUCUGGUCUGUAACUGACGCUGAGGCGCGAAAGCGUGGGGAGCAAACAGGAUUAGAUACCCUGGUAGUCCACGCCGUAAACGAUGAGUGCUAAGUGUUAGGGGGUUUCCGCCCCUUAGUGCUGCAGCUAACGCAUUAAGCACUCCGCCUGGGGAGUACGGCCGCAAAGGCUG